rnacentral:lncRNA from 1 species
CUCUCUCUCUGCCUCUAUUUCCCUCCCUCUUUCUCUCUCUCUGCCUCUAUAUUUCCAUCUGUCUUUUUCUCUCUUCCUCUACAUUUCCCUCCCUCUUUCUCUCUCUGCCUCUACAUUUCCCUCCCUCUUUCUGUCUUUGUCUCUAUAUUUCCCUCCCUCUUUCUGUCUCUCUGCCUCUAUAUUUCCUUCCCUCUUUCUGUCUCUCUGCCUCUAUAUUUCCCUCCCUCUUUCUCUCUCUGCCUCUAUAUUUCCCUCCCUCUUUCUGUCUCUCUGCCUCUAUAUUUCCAUCUGUCUUUCUCUCUCUUCCUCUACUUUUCCCUCCCUCUUUCUCUCUCUGCCUCUAUAUUUCCCUCCCUCUUUCUGUCUCUCUGCCUCUAUAUUUCCCUCCCUCUUUCUCUCUCUGACUUUAUAUUUCUCUCUCUUUCUGUCCCUCUGCCUCUUUAUUUCACAGUCUUUCUCUCUGUCCUUUCCACUAUUCUACUUCCUGUCUCUCUUGUCCUCUCCGUUUACCUCUUCUCUUCUUUCUCUCCUUUCCACUAUUCUACUUCCUGUCUCUCUUGUCCUCUCCGUCUACCUCUUCUCUUCUUUCUCUCCUUUCCACUAUUCUGCUUCCUGUCUCUCUUGUCCUCUCAGUCUACCUCUUCUCUUCUUUCUCUCCUUUCCACUAUUCUACUUCCUAUCUCUCUUCUCCUCUCCGUCUACCUCUUUUCUUCUCUCUGUCCUUUCCACUAUUCUACUUCCUAUCUCUCUUGUCCUCUCCGUCUACCUCUUCUCUUCUCUCUGUCCUUUCCACUAUUCUACUUCCUAUCUCUCUUGUCCUCUCUGUCUACCUCUCCUCUUCGCUCUGUCCUUUCCACUAUUCUGCUUCCUAUCUCUCUUGUCCUCUCUGUCUACCUCUCCUCUUCGCUCUGUCCUUUCCACUAUUCUGCUUCCUAUCUCUCUUGUCCUCUCUGACUACCUCUCCUCUUCUCUCUGUCCUUUCCACUAUUCUACUUCCUAUCUCUCUUGUCCUCUCUGUCUACCUCUCCUCUUCUCUCUGUCCUUUCCACUAUUCUACUUUCUUCCAACUCAUUAGAUCUUUCUUAUUUUCCUCUCUUAUCCCUCCAUCUCCCUUGCGACUGAAAUAAACCCUCAAUAAAAGAUGAGGAAGGCUCAUCUGCCUCGCUGGCGGUGGUAUUCCUACAGGAUUCAAUCAUCACCUCGCUAAUGAGAUUAGCAUGGCUCAUUCAUGGCUAAUGCUUACUGAGCCAGGAUCGUCACUCAUCUUCCCACAGUAGCUCAGCACAGAGGGGAGAGGAACUGAGGGCUGCCCAGGUCGGGGUACCCAAUGUCGGCUUGCCAAUCCAGGAAAGCCUCCUGCCUGGACCUCCAUGGGAAGGGAAGUGAGAGUUACCUAGCUUGAGGUUCCUGAAAACCUCCUGUUUCAAUCUGGUCAUCAUACUAAGAAUGGAAUAGCAGGAGUCAAAGGGGGAGUGAAGAACCCUAUGGGGGGAGCGAGAGAGAGAGAGAGAGAGAGAGAGGAGAGACAGAGACAGAGGAGA